GAAGGAGAAGCAUUCUGUUCUGUUUUCCGUAGCCAUGACAACUGACAAUAAACUCUACCUGAUUCUCGUCUCGGAGGAAGAACAGAAGUUCACUGUGGGGAUAACCAGGCUGUCUAUAAACUUUCGAAAUAGCCUGCAGAUGCUUCAUAUGCCUUGACAGAUCUUAGGAGAAGAAGGAAACACAGCAGACUGGAGAGAGCUCAGUUCUAUGGACAUGUCAGACUGGAGCUACCACAGGUAUCCUGGCAAAGGAGAGCUCAGCUGUGAACUGGAUCCCAUGGCUACUAUGUGGACUUCUAACUGUGGACACGUGUUUGUUUCUUUGUUGGAUCAAGAUAUAGAACUCUUAGCUCCUUCUCAAGAACCGUAUCUGCCUGAAUGCUGCCAUGCUUCUGUCCUCGAUAGUAACGGGCUGAACCUCAGAAUCUGUAAGCCAGCCCCAAUUAAACGUUAUCUUUAUAA